AUUGAACGCUGGCGGCAGGCCUAACACAUGCAAGUCGAGCGAGCGGCGGACGGGUGAGUAAUGUAUGGGGAUCUGCCCGAUCGAGGGGGAUAACUACUGGAAACGAUGGCUAAUAACGCCUCCUCUCGGAUGAACCCAUAUUGGAUUAGCUAGUCGUUUGGGUAAAGGCUCACCAAGGCGACGAUCUCUAGCUGGUCUGAGAGGAUGAUCAGCAAAACUGGGACUGAGACACGGCCCAGACUCCUACGGGAGGCAGCAGUGGGGAAUAUUGCACAAUGGGCGCAAGCCUGAUGCAGCCAUGCCGCGUGUAUGAAGAAGGCCUUAGGGUUGUAAAGUACUUUCAGCGGGGAGGCGUUACCCGCAGAAGAAGCACCGGCGAACUCCGUGCCAGCCGCCGCGGUAAUUC
rnacentral:rRNA from 1 species